UGAGUAAUCGCAGUAACUAGAAUACAACAGGUUCUCGGAAUCGUUAGCCACUGUGCAAAUUGUGCAAAAUGCACAGUCAAGUGCCGAAUUGCAAUCGAACUCCCUCGCAAACCGCGAAGCCUUCCUCAAUAAAUUGAAGAUAGCGAUUAAAAUGAGAAAAAACAACACAUUUGACUAAAUGACUGUCAUGGCGAAGUGUGGUUAGAACUCAUACGAAUGUGACAGGCAAAAUGGCAGUAGCAUCUCCAAAUUGGACAGGGAAUGGUGAGGCGGUGGGUCGUGAGUUAGCCAAGGUCGUUUGGCGUUCUUGAGUUCUUGGCAAAAUCAUAAGUGGCGAAAAUUGCACAAUUAAGUACAAGUACAUGUACCUACACGGCGAACACGCUCCUCGGCCUUUUGGCCCGACUUAGCCUGGCCCUAACCUUUUGGUCCGUAACCAAACGCAACUCGGCAUUACCGCAACUUACAUUUCACUCGUAAGCCAAAAGACUCUGAAAGUGAUGCGAUGCCCGAACUAAUUGCAACUAAUUGAAAUUCACGCUGGCGGCUGUUGCGAAAACACUGUUCAAAUGACGCAGUUCCUCCGGUGACAAAUUGGUCGGCACAGAGAGUUUUUGCUGAACGUUUUCAAGUGCAAAAGUGCGUGAAAAUCCAAAUCAGUACACCCAGGUGCCGCCGAUCGCUUUAACCAAAUAUUUAUGCAAAUGCCUGAUUUGCCGCAGGAAGAGCACAAUGUCACGUCACCACACGCCUCAAAUGUGCCAUGAAAAAUAAUAACAAAAUCAAACAAAAGCCUCAUUACAUAUCCGUAGAUGUGUGUCCAUACACUCAUGCCAAAACAACCAAAGAUACAGAUACAAAAAGUAUAAGUAUUUUGUUUGUCUUUUUAUUAAACGAUCUUGAUAAAUGUCUAGAGAUCGGAUAAGGAGAACAACCCAAAUGGAUCUCCAGGGCAACGCGAUCUGGACUUGGCAAUACCGAUCUCAUUGUCACUCAUCACAACGCAAUCAGCUGAAUAUGGAUAAUAUGUUAAUGCUCUUUUUCUCGUUUACUUGCCUAUUCGGAAUACAUUUCAGCACACGAUUCUGGCGAUCCUUUUGGACGAAUGCCGUUGGCCGCUUUGCGAUUCUCAGGCCGUCCGUUGGCCAAUUUAUCAAACAUGGCUUUUACGAUUUCGAGGUGCUUGUCAGGCAGCGUACAACCCAAAUCCAUUAGUGUUUAGCACAAGAUCGUAAACCUGUAUCCCUAUUUUUAGACUAUUCUUUCGUCCAGCAGCCCCACGCCCAUUCAUAUGAAUACUCGUGGCUGGCACGUUUGGAUGGUUGGAGUUUUAUUGGUGAAUAUAGUUGACUUCAAUGAAUAAAGCUAUAAAGUAGGUAUGCUGUUGAAUACUUGUUGUAGGUAGUUAAAUUAUUACUAUCUAUACAUUUUAAUUCGUAAUUCGGUCAGCUUACUGCAAGUAGCUUACCCAGAACACGAGACUAAAUCCACAGUGCAUAAAUUAUGUUUCUUUUAAUACUGGAAAUGUGAUUUCCUCUAUUCUUAAAACUCUUUAUUAUUUAAUAAUAGUCGCAUUAAUAACACACAUUGCUGAUGAACAAAAUAUGCUCGAGUGUCGUUAUUGAAGCUGAAUCUUAAGUGCACAUUGUGUCAAGUUUAUGGUUGAUUAACAAUACGGAGGACAUUGAAAGGUACUUCAAAGAAAAAAUCCAUGUAAAACAAUUUAUUAAGAGUGCUGAGGAGCUCGCAGGGCAUUGGCAUUCGAUUGUCAGAAUGUAAGAAUAAGCCAUGCAAAACAUUAAUAAGCUAUAAAGCGAAUUGGAGACGCCGGAUAGCAGAAAUUAGCAAAUUAAUCACGUGCCCUCCAACUUUUUCUACUCGCCCACGCCCGAAAAUUUUCGAUGAUAUUUUCUAUUUUGGCGCAAUAGCAUUUCCGUACACCGUGUGGUAGCUACACAGAAUCUUGGCCCCAGGGAAGUUGGUUUUUUGUGGCUCAAAGAACUCGUCACCAAGUGCUCGAAGUCUUUUCAUUAACAAGUCGAUCAUGAUCAGCAUCGAAAAGGCCGAGAGCCUGCUUAGAAUUCUGGGGGAGAUCGCAAGCCUGAUUGGCGUUUUAAAAUGCCUUCUGCCCGUCCGCAUAUACAUAUGUAUUUUGGGGGCUUCUAUUCUUGACUCUCUGCUGGUGUGUAAGUGGAUUUGCAUAAAUAUGCAUGUGUUUUCAGCGAGCACUGGUAACAAGCUUAUAUUCGCGACCUAAUAGAAGUCAGAAAUUGGCCCUUAUUUAAUUUCAUCCGCUGAAAACCAGUCGGUCGACUCCAUAAACCGGGGGCAGCUCAUUUAACACCCAUCUAACGAUAUCAGUCAAGGCAAAUGUGAAUAAAAUACUGCCCGAAGAUAUGCGUCAUAAACAUAAUCAAGAACUCUUCACAGCAGAGAUGCCAAGAUUAAACAGACAAUGAAUUCGUGGAAAUCAAGGAAAUCAGACGUAGGACUAGAUCUGCAAGUAGUUAGAAACGUGGCUUAAAUUCCCGCCCAGUUGAUAGAACCUUCUCAAGCGGCUAAAGAUUUAUUUAUCUAAAGAUCAAGUUGUUUGGUGUUCUUGGCGAGUAGAACAAGUUUUUGGCCAACACGAGACUGAGCUCACGGGGUAUAAAUAUAAACAUUGGAAUUCGAAAAGAACGUAUUAUAUUUGCUUCCAGAUCCCAUUCCCAUUUACAUUUAACCUCGUGACCCUUGCUUGGAUGCGGACAAGGUUAUCGGUUCCCUAUUAUUUAUAUAUUAUCUAUUAUCAUCGAAUCGAUGCCUAGGCCCCAAAUGAUUUGGAAAUCCCCCGCCUCAUUACACAUUACACAGCCGGUGGAUUUGGCCAGACUUCCGCCUCGAACUCUUCCGCAUAGGUGUAACAGUAAACAAGUUGGGGACCGGACCUCCGAAAAGCUCAAAUAGACCCAGCAAUUAAAAUAUGUAAAUGGAAACAAAGCCAAACAAAAAGGCCAAUGCUGCGCGAAAAAACGACGCCAACAGACUCGACGCUAACCUCGCGUUUGUCUUUGCUGCAAAUGAAGAGAUGAAGUCGAGACCGCAUUGGAGCUAUGACGGCAAAGGCUGAUCCGGCAGUUCUUGGAAUACCCUCUCCAUGGGACGGGAAUACUCUGUUUGCUGAAUGAUAUACUACAGAGAUAAAUGGGGUUGCAAUAAAGAGGAGCAGGGGAGGCCCACCGGACAAACAGGUAUUAAACAAUAACAUUAUUUUUAAAAAAUAAUCCAAAUUGUAUCUGAUAUGUUAUCCAUUAAUAUCUAAGAUAUAUAAUAGCUCAUACAAUUUGAACCAAAGGGUAAUGGCUUUCU